CCCCCCCCCCCCCCCCCCCCCCCCCCCCCCCCCCCCCCCCCCCCCCCCCCCCCCCCCCCGUUAGGGUUAGGGUUAGGGUUAGGGUUAGGGUUAGUGUUAGGGUUAGGGUUAGGGUUAGGGUUAGGGGUUAGGGUUAGGGUUAGGGUUAGGGUCAGGGUCAGGGUCAGGGUUAGGGUUAGGGUUAGGGUCAGGGUCAGGGUGAAGGUCAGGUUUAGGGUCAGGGUAAGGUCAGGGUCAGGGUUAGGGUUUGGGUUAGGGUUAGGGUUAGAGAAAUACACACAAGUUACUCCUCCUGCAGGCAAAAAGCCACAGGCUUUACAUGUUAGUUUAUGUUUUUUUUAUGUUAGAGCAGUUGUAUGAACCUGCUCAGGUUCUCAUACCUUGUCAAUAAUUUCAAGCAUUAGAGAAGUUAAAAUAUUGGCAUGAAGCAGAGCAGAAAGUGUGUGGCCCUUCAGAAGCUAUUUUCUAUAGAAUAUAUUGGAUUAGAACGAGGGAACGUCUCUCGGGUUGGGUUAUUUCCGGGUUUGGGGUAGGGUCAGGGUCAGGGUCAGGGUAAGGGUUAGGGUUAGUGUUAGGGUCAGGGUUAGGGUGAGGUUUAGGGUCAGGGUCAGGGUUAGGGUUACUGUUAGGGUCGGGGUCAGGGUUAAGUUUAGGUUUAGGGUCUUCAGGCACCAGAGCAGAGACUACCCUGUAGCCCACAGUGAAGACCAUAGUGAUGCAAAUCAACUCUCUGCAGGCCAUGGAGGUCCACAUUAGAGGAAGUAGCCUAAGAAGGAUCCCAUGUUACAGCAGGUGGAUAUGCAUUGAAAGGUGUUGUGACCCUGUGGGGA
rnacentral:lncRNA from 12 species